CUAUGUAUCCCAACACCUUGAGAAGGCCUGAUCUCGUCUGAUUUGAGAAGCUAAGCAGGAUCAGGCCUGGUUAGUACUUGAAUGGAAGACUAUAGGGAAUAACAGGUGCCACACAAG
rnacentral:rRNA from 1 species